rnacentral:rRNA from 1 species
UGGAUGAUGUGGAUUAAUUCGAUGCAACGCGAAAACCUUACCUACCCUUGACAUGUCCGGAAUCCCGAAGAGAUUUGGGAGUGCUCGCAAGAGAACCGGAACACAGGUGCUGCAUGGCUGUCGUCAGCUCGUGUCGUGAGAUGUUGGGUUAAGUCCCGCAACGAGCGCAACCCGUGUCAUUAGUUGCCAUCAUUUGGUUGGGCACUCUAAUGAGACUGCCGGUGACAAACCGGAGGAAGGUGGGGAUGACGUCAAGUCCUCAUGGCCCUUAUGGGUAGGGCUUCACACGUCAUACAAUGGUCGGUACAGAGGGUUGCCAACCCGCGAGGGGGAGCUAAUCCCACAAAGCCGAUCGUAGUCCGGAUCGCAGUCUGCAACUCGACUGCGUGAAGUCGGAAUCGCUAGUAAUCGUGGAUCAGCAUGUCACGGUGAAUACGUUCCCGGGUCUU